ACGGAAGGCAGCAGUGGGGAAUAUUGCACAAUGGGGGAAACCCUGAUGCAGCGACGCCGCGUGAAGGAAGAAGUAUCUCGGUAUGUAAACUUCUAUCAGCAGGGAAGAUAGUGACGGUACCUGACUAAGAAGCCCCGGCUAACUACGUGCCAGCAGCCGCGGUAAUACGCAGGGGGCAAGCGUUAUCCGGGUUUACUGGGUGUAAAGGGAGCGUAGACGGUGUGGCAAGUCUGAUGUGAAAGGCAUGGGCUCAACCUGUGGACUGCAUUGGAAACUGUCAUACUUGAGUGCCGGAGGGGUAAGCGGAAUUCCUAGUGUAGCGGUGAAAUGCGUAGAUAUUAGGAGGAACACCAGUGGCGAAGGCGGCUUACUGGACGGUAACUGACGUUGAGGCUCGAAAGCGUGGGGAGCAAACAGGAUUAGAUACCCUGGUA
rnacentral:rRNA from 1 species